CGUGUAGGCGGCCAGGUAGGUCCGUUGUGAAAACUCGAGGCUCAACCUCGAGACGUCGAUGGAAACCAUCUGGCUAGAGUCCGGAAGAGGAGAGUGGAAUUCCUGGUGUAGCGGUGAAAUGCGCAGAUAUCAGGAAGAACACCUAUGGCGAAGGCAGCUCUCUGGGACGGUACUGACGCUGAGCGCGAAGCGUGGGAGCGAACA
rnacentral:rRNA from 1 species